rnacentral:rRNA from 1 species
UACGUAGGGGGCAAGCGUUGUCCGGAAUCAUUGGGCGUAAAGCGCACGUAGGCGGCUUGUUAAGUCAGGGGUGAAAUCCUGGAGCUCAACUCCAGAACUGCCUUUGAUACUGGCAAGCUUGGAGUCCGGGAGAGGUGAGUGGAACUGCGAGUGUAGAGGUGAAAUUCGUAGAUAUUAGGAAGAACACCGGUGGCGAAGGCGGCCCACUGGUCCGGUACUGACGCUGAGGUGCGAAAGCGUGGGGAGCAAACAGG